rnacentral:lncRNA from 12 species
AAGAAAGUACUAAGAAAAAUAUUGUUUUCUCAUUAUUUUUUCCCUUGCAGUGUUAUUAUAUACCCUCUUGAAGUUCAUUAAGCACAUCAUGAGAAUUUUCAUAUCUGGAACGUGUAAUGUCACAGAAGAUAAAACAGACUCACAACUGGACACAAUCUCUCCACUUGCCCUAAGCCAGUGCAAUCCCCCAGGCAUUAUAUUCUUGAACUUGAUAAAUGAUUCUGAUCAAGCCACCAGGCUGUCUAAGCCUGCUAUGCUACAAUGCCCAACAACAUGGAAGAUUAUGAAUUUAAGCUCUGAGCAAAGCAUGAAGUGUGGAAAACAUAAAAUGCAAACAUUUCAAUUAGAAAAUUGCACCUGAGGAAUUUCUAGCCCCUUCAACAGCACCUCUUGCCUCUGUUAGACCAGUGGCAGUAAUUUUACAAUGCCCUGUAGAACCCCAAAUCCUACAUCAAUUAGUGGACAUUAAAGAAUUAAA